GAUCGGAGUGGGACGAACAAUCUACAAACUAAUAAUCUGAAAUACUGUAGAUAGUACAACCUAAAAGAUCUCUGUUCUGGUGAGACAAAAGGCUGAGAAAUGAAUACUGUGGCCCCAGCAGCCACUACACCACACUUCACUACACUACACUACACUACACAGACUCUGACGUCACCAGUACAUCAGUACCUGCCGCUGUAGGUACACUGGCAUUGCUUUGAAUUGGCAGAAUGAAAUAUAGACAUGUCAUUUAUCUGUGUUUAUCAACAAUGCUUCAAUCUGACCUGCUGCUAAACUCUAACAGACACAAAGUCAGUAGUAACCAAAGCUGUAUAUUUUGCAGAAAGCUGAAUAAAUAUUUUAGUUAGAACUCAUUUAUUUGUAAUAUAAACCGCAUCAUUAGCGCAUGAUCUGGCAGAGAGUGGUAAUAAUAAGGACAACACGUAUAAUUGCAUGCAUAGCAAUACAAACAAACACACUGGCGCAAAGAUACUGUAAAUUAGAGAGAGAGGAGACGAAAAAGAGUUACAGUACAGAUGGCAAUUGUUCAACUGGGUUGCAGACUGGGACACUGAGAACAAAGGCGGUCUCAGCACAGAUUCUGCUCUGGGAGUUCACACUGUAAAAGGGAAGGGACGGCUACUGUUUCCUUUCCCUCCAUUACCCAGAGGUCUUAAUUAGUUUAGGUUAAUCAUGCACUGCUGUAAUUGACUACUGUUGUUUCUCCUUUUCAUCUAUCAUUUCAUUGCCUGGAACCAACCUGUAGUGGGGCACCUCAUUUCACGUAACAGCUCUGAUACACCCCAAUUCCCUAAUAUGAUUGUUUUAUCACUGCCUCCAUCCUUCUCUGUCUCCUUUUUUCUUGUUUUCUGUCUUUAAUCUCUGUUUCCCAGACUUCUUUGUAUCUUUUUUUUUUUUUCCACAGAAAACAACUCACACAAAAAUACACCCACAUAUACACAGUUCAGGGCAUCAGAGGCUGAAAGUUCAUGGUACCAAGCACAAAGCAAAGGGAUCAGUAAGUUGGGGGGCAGUGAAUAUGUGAAAUGGAUCCCUUUAAUCAUUCAAAAAUAAUUAAUUUGUAAAGUCAGAAUAAACAAACACAGCCUGAGGAUUUCUUUUUUUUUUUUUUUUUUUUGCGGCUACAUGGUAAAGGCUUUCUUUGUGCCCAAUCAAGGUUUGGCAUUUUCAACCAUGUAGGCUGAACAUUAUCUCAUCUUACUGUUUCAAGCUACAUUUGACUGUAACUGCAACUUUUUCAACCUGUUGGGAUUUUCUUUUCCCUCAGUCAGUCCUGUAACACCGCCAACGCCCCUGCUGUGUUGUGACUUUUCUUCAGUUUUGUUCGCAUUUCUUUCACUCACUUCCCUGUGUGUAAUAACCCCAGUAAAUAGUCAGCCAUCAAACAUUAAUUAAAGGUUUUGUGUGCACAAAGAAAUUGAGAGUUAUUUUAAAAUUUGGGAUUUGUGUAUUGUACAAACAGCAACUUUAAUUGUAAAAGCAACUUUUGGAUCUGUUCAGGCAAAUGAACAUUUCAGACAGUGUUUUCCACUUCUGAUUCUGAUUGGUCUCGUUUGUAGCAGGCUAACUGCUAAUCAGGGCUAUGCUAAUAUAAUGGUAUUAAUACUAACCAUCUUAAUAGAAAUAUCAAAUAAUAAUAAUAUCAUACAAAAAAUAUGUAAUAGUAACACAAUGAGUUCAUGGUUAAUGUCCUCUCAGCUGAUUGGCACAUAUCAUAAAACAGGAGAGACAAAGAAGAGGCAGCAGACCGCCAGUGGACUGGCUUAAAGCAGCCCUCUAUGAGAUAAUUAAAAAAACUAUAAGUCCCUGAUUUUUGUUAAUCCAAAUUGAUAUUAGUGACUGUGCCUCUUCAGGUUACCAAUUAAAUUAUUAUACUAUCUAAUCAUUUUAAUCUGUUUUCACACAGUUUCAUAACUUACAGGCUUCUGGGAGUAGAUUCAACUUCAAACUAAAAGCAUAGUUGUACAAUGUGGGAAAUAAAGACAGAAAAACACACAACAGGAAAUAUCAAAACACAGUAAUGCCAAAUAGUGGUUUUAUGGGAUAUUGUUUUCUCUUCAGAAUACCAGUAACGCAGCCUGUGAUGUGGAUAAAUCAUACAUUUGAAUAUAGUUAAAAUAAUAACUAUAUUGAUCCUGAAAGGAAAUUCAAUUGUCUGUCGUCUCAUUUGUCAUGUCUCUAAUAGCCAUGUCAUGAUUGAUGACAUGCAAGUAACUGGUUUGUUUUAAAAUUUAUGUUUUCCACAAGUAUCACAAUAACAGUUUUAUUGUCAAAUGUUAUGGCAACAAUAAUCGUGACCUUAAAGCCUGAUAUUGUGACAGCCCAGUCAUGCAGUGGACAGUCUAUGUUAUGAACAUGCCUCUAGUUUGAUUUUUGAUGCAGCAUUUUGAUCCAAAACAAUUUGUUUUUUUAUAUUUAAAAUUUUUACCUCUGUUGUUUGGCAAACUUGUUCUGAGAGAAAAGAAAACAGGAACUGUCAUGAUCAUCGGUCAAUUUUAUUAUUUUUUUUCCUUUAUUCCAUUUCAUGUCUUAUGUUUCCUGUUUGCUUUAUUUUGAAACCCCCACCCCUGUCCGCCCUUCCCUCCUGUCAUCACAGCUGCUCCCUGGUCCUCUCCUCUGAAUCUGUAUCCCAUCACCUCUUUUCUUUCCCUGUCUUGGCACCAGUUUGCUGUCUUUAUGGUACAUUCUGGCAUUCAUCGAGUUACUCAUGUUCAUGAUCUCGACCUUGCUAUUUUUUGGACUCUGCCUUUUUCGCCUCAUGUUUUAGAUACCUCUGCCUCUGUUAUUUAUCUCACUAUGCAUUAAACCCUAGACUGGAAAUAAACCAGAUUUUUGCCAUAGAGGACUGGUUAUUUGUGUGUUCUGCCAUUGACUUCUCUUUUGUUAGCCUGUUCAUGACAGGAACUCCUCUCCCUGGAUUUAUUUGAUGUUAAGUGUGUGAUUUGGUUGUCUCUAGCAAUUAAUUACCAUUGUCUUGGGGUUUUGGCCAAUCAGAAUCAAAUUUUUUCAAACAGCAUGAUAAUUAGUAAGAAAACCGGAUAUUCAUCAGGGAUGAGACCUCUGUAGUUUGUAUCUUAUUCACAAAGAAAUGCCUUGUGCUCAGCUAUACAGUGUAAUGCUGGCACACUUCUUUUUAUAACAUUUUUAAUUAUCUUUAAUCAAUAAAUCUUUACUUAUACAGCACAAAAUCACAACAGUCUUUAUCCCACGAUGAUUUCCAAAAGAGCAGGUCAAGUCCAAACUUUAAAACAAAGUAAACAGUUGCCAUGUAAACAGUUGGCUUAUGGCACCGGAAGUAGGGGAUAAAAAUAUUAAAAAAUAUAUAUACAAUCAAAUGUAAAAAUAUUGUUUUUGAGAUGCUUCUUCGAAAAAUGAGUAUUUGUGGGCAGUUGGGUCAAUUGCAACUUUGGAAUACGAAGUCAGUAUUGGGCUUUUAACUCAAACAUUUACAGUACUUUCUUAUCGUCAUACAUUUUAUUCUAUUAACAACUUUUGUGCAUGUGCAUGUUGUUGAGACUGUGAUUGAUUUGUCCAUCUUCUCUAAUUUAGAGCCAACUUAAGAGCAUUAAGUAACAAUCCACAUCCGCAUAUUCAGCACUCCUCAAACAGUCAGAAUUUAUGCUUUGAAUUUUUUUCUGCUCUUAUCUACAAAAGUCUUGUUUGGCAUGUUGUCAGACAAUCACUCGCUGGAGAUGUUCACAGUAAUAAAAAGCACAGCUCAGUGUUUACUUGCUCCCAUGCAUAGACUAAUUAAGAAAAACAUGUUUAAAAAAAAAAAAAAGACAAAGCACAGCACUGAGCUAACGUCCUGCUUUCAAUUUCUCUUUUCUAUUCUUGAUAUUAGAUUCCAAUUUCCGGGUAAUUCAUGCAUUGGUCAUAUAGUCCUUACUCCUCUGAUGAAAAACACACUCUUAGGGUUCGUACAUAUGAAAUUCAAAGUGAAUUAUUAAGUGCUUCCUCAAUAAUUCAAAGCUCAACACAACAACAAAAACAGAAUGAUCAAAAGUUCUCUAGCUUUGGCAAACACAACUUUGUAAAACACGUGUGCUUUUGAUGAAAUGGUGGUUCUUAUAAUGGUGGGUAAUACCAUUUCUAUGCUGAUUUCAGAUUGCUUUUGAGUCACAUAGUAGGGCAGCAAUAUACAGUAUAGGUAAGGUUUUUGCUAUGUAGUGGUCUUUAGUUUCUUGAUUUUUACAGAAUGGAAGGUUGGUGGUUCGAUCUUGAGCCCUGCAUGGGACCGGCUAUCGAAUCCCACUUCUGCCUGCUCCUGCUAGAUUAGCACGACCAUUAUAGCGCACAUCAACUGUGUAUGAUCCACUCCAGCCACACCUGCACAAAUUCUGAUCACAUAUGUGCAUUCAUAAUAACAGACAAGUAUUGUAUUCAAAAUAACUUUAAACAAAAAACCUGUAACCAAGGUUUGUAUCAUGCAACAGACGCAAUAAAAUGAACACAGUGGUUAGUUAUGGACUUGACAUUUAAGGUGGCCUGGCUGCAGUAUUUUUUACUUCCUGCCCCAACAUCGUUUGCCUUCUAGUUUAACACUUAUCCACAUGGUUUCACAUGCCUUACAAAACAAUGAUGUCAUGCCUUUUAAAAAACGUUUAGCAGGAACAAGAGGAGGUAGUCAAGGUGGAAAAGAGUAGACAAAGUUUGGUUUAGUUUUGCACAAAUCAGUGCUAAUAGUUCUAAAUGCAACGGUGGUGUGAUUUUAACUAAGGGUGGAAAUACCAGCAACAUGCUCAAUGGUUAAUUUGUCAAUGCAACACAAAACUGAAUAUCAAGAGUGCCAGGUAUAUGACGCUCUAUGCUGUCAGAGUGCUUCUCUGUUUACAUUUGUACAGAG